rnacentral:rRNA from 1 species
AGUAAAGCUCACCAAGACCGUGAUGCAUAGCCGACCUGAGAGGGUAAUCGGCCACACUGGGACUGAGACACGGCCCAGACUCCUACGGGAGGCAGCAGUAGGGAAUCUUCCACAAUGGACGAAAGUCUGAUGGAGCAACGCCGCGUGAGUGAAGAAGGUUUUCGGAUCGUAAAACUCUGUUGUUGGAGAAGAAUGUAUCUGAUAGUAACUGAUCAGGUAGUGACGGUAUCCAACCAGAAAGCCACGGCUAACUACGUGCCAGCAGCCGCGGUAAUACGUAGGUGGCAAGCGUUGUCCGGAUUUAUUGGGCGUAAAGCGAGCGCAGGCGGUUUCUUAAGUCUGAUGUGAAAGCCUUCGGCUCAACCGAAGAAGUGCAUCGGAAACUGGGAAACUUGAGUGCAGAAGAGGACAGUGGAACUCCAUGUGUAGCGGUGAAAUGCGUAGAUAUAUGGAAGAACACCAGUGGCGAAGGCGGCUGUCUGGUCUGUAACUGACGCUGAGGCUCGAAAGCAUGGGUAGCAAACAGGAUUAGAUACCCUGGUAGUCCAUGCCGUAAACGAUGAGUGCUAGGUGUUGGAGGGUUUCCGCCCUUCAGUGCCGCAGCUAACGCAUUAAGCACUCCGCCUGGGGAGUACGACCGCAAGGUUGAAACUCAAAGGAAUUGACGGGGGCCCGCACAAGCGGUGGAGCAUGUGGUUUAAUUCGAAGCAACGCGAAGAACCUUACCAGGUCUUGACAUCCUUUGACCACUCUAGAGAUAGAGCUUUCCCUUCGGGGACAAAGUGACAGGUGGUGCAUGGUUGUCGUCAGCUCGUGUCGUGAGAUGUUGGGUUAAGUCCCGCAACGAGCGCAACCCUUAUUACUAGUUGCCAGCAUUUAGUUGGGCACUCUAGUGAGACUGCCGGUGACAAACCGGAGGAAGGUGGGGACGACGUCAAAUCAUCAUGCCCCUUAUGACCUGGGCUACACACGUGCUACAAUGGAUGGUACAACGAGUUGCGAGACCGCGAGGUUUAGCUAAUCUCUUAAAACCAUUCUCAGUUCGGAUUGUAGGCUGCAACUCGCCUACAUGAAGCCGGAAUCGCUAGUAAUCGCGGAUCAGCAUGCCGCGGUGAAUACGUUCCCGGGCCUUGUACACACCGCCCGUCACACCAUGAGAGUUUGUAACACCCAAAGCCGGUGAGGUAACCCUUCGGGGAGCCAGCCGUCUAAG